AAAUAUUCCAACAUAAAUUGAUGUUAAACAAUAUUGAGCUAAAAAAAUGUCCAUAUCCUGAUAUUCCACGGGUUCCACAUAUACAGAAAAUAAUAAACUCAAAAUCUUGAAAACUACUCGUCCGAAUUACUUGAAAUUCAACACAGAUGUUUAGCCGGAUUAGGGGAAGGUCAGUAGCUAUAUGAGAGUCGCAAAAUAUAACUCAAAGUCACAGGAAAUAAAGAUACAAGAUUGGUACAAGUGGUGCGGUCUAACGGAUGAAUAUUCAAUAAACAUAAUAACCAACCAUCUAUAAACAAAAACGGAAAUCUGAAAAUACCUGUCAAAUUUGAAAAAUUGGCCCAGCCGUCAACAAUUGAUGAAGUAACAUUUCAAUACGUUUUCAUUAACCAUUUUGUAUAUUUAUUUGCCGAUCACAUUAAACGAUAACAUUUGAAUAAAAAAUUCUACAUAUCAUCGUCCAAAGGCAAAAUAACAACCAAUCACGAGCGAAGCUGUGAUG